rnacentral:rRNA from 1 species
CCCAGACUCCUACGGGAGGCAGCAGUGAGGAAUAUUGGUCAAUGGGCGGAAGCCUGAACCAGCCAAGUCGCGUGAGGGAAGAAGGCCCUGCGGGUCGCAGACCUCUUUGGACGGGGAGCAAGGCCGCCGACGUGUCGGCGGAAGGAGAGUACCCGUAGAACAAGCAUCGGCUAACUCCGUGCCAGCAGCCGCGGUAAUACGUAGGGGGCAAGCGUUAUCCGGAUUUACUGGGUGUAAAGGGAGCGUAGACGGAAAGGCAAGUCAGAAGUGAAAGCCCAAGGCUCAACCAUGGGACUGCUUUUGAAACUGUCAAACUAGAGUACGGGAGAGGUAAGAGGAAUUCCUAGUGUAGCGGUGAAAUGCGUAGAUAUUAGGAGGAACACCAGUGGCGAAGGCGGCCUGCUGGGCUUUAACUGACGCUGAGGCUCGAAAGCGUGGGGAGCAAACAGGAUUAGAUACCCGAGUA